GACGAACGCUGGCGGCGUGCUUAACACAUGCAAGUCGAGCGGUAAGGCCCUUCGGGGUACACGAGCGGCGAACGGGUGAGUAACACGUGGGUGAUCUGCCUCGCACUUCGGGAUAAGCCUGGGAAACUGGGUCUAAUACCGGAUAUGACCUGCUGUCGCAUGGCGGUGGGUGGAAAGAUUUAUCGGUGCGAGAUGGGCCCGCGGCCUAUCAGCUUGUUGGUGGGGUAAUGGCCUACCAAGGCGACGACGGGUAGCCGGCCUGAGAGGGCGACCGGCCACACUGGGACUGAGACACGGCCCAGACUCCUACGGGAGGCAGCAGUGGGGAAUAUUGCACAAUGGGCGAAAGCCUGAUGCAGCGACGCCGCGUGAGGGAUGACGGCCUUCGGGUUGUAAACCUCUUUCGACAGGGACGAAGCGCAAGUGACGGUACCUGUAGAAGAAGCACCGGCCAACUACGUG
rnacentral:rRNA from 25 species